rnacentral:rRNA from 1 species
UACGAAGGGGGCUAGCGUUGUUCGGAAUCACUGGGCGUAAAGGGCGCGUAGGCGGUUUGCUAAGUUGGAUGUGAAAACUCUGGGCUUAACCCAGAGCCUGCAUCCAAAACUGGCAAACUUGAGUACUGGAGGGGAAAGCGGAAUUCCUGGUGUAGCGGUGAAAUGCGUAGAUAUCAGGAGGAACACCGGUGGCGAAGGCGGCUUUCUGGACAGUAACUGACGCUGAGGCGCGAAAGCUAGGGGAGCAAACAGG